GAGUUUGAUCUUGGCUCAGAUUGAACGCUGGCGGUGUGCUUAACACAUGCAAGUCGAACGGUAACAGGCUAGCUUGCUAGCGCUGACGAGUGGCGGACGGGUGCGUAACGCGUAGGAAUCUGCCUAUUAGUGGGGGACAACCUGGUGAAAGCCAGGCUAAUACCGCAUACGCCCUACGGGGGAAAGGCAGGGGAUCUUCGGACCUUGCGCUAAUAGAUGAGCCUGCGUUAGAUUAGCUUGUUGGUGAGGUAAUGGCUCACCAAGGCGACGAUCUAUAGCUGGUCUGAGAGGACGAUCAGCCACACUGGGACUGAGACACGGCCCAGACUCCUACGGGAGGCAGCAGUGGGGAAUAUUGGACAAUGGGCGGAAGCCUGAUCCAGCAAUACCGCGUGUGUGAAGAAGGCCUGAGGGUUGUAAAGCACUUUCAAUUGGGAGGAAAACAGGCAGGUUAAUAUCCUGUCUCUUGACAUUACCUUUAGUAAGAAGCACCGGCUAACUCCGUGCCAC
rnacentral:rRNA from 1 species